UGCAGUCAAGAAUCUUCGGCAAUGUUCGCAAGCCUGACCGAGCGACGCCCCGUGGAGGACGAAGGCCUUCGGAUUGUAAUCUCCUGUCGAGGGUCAAGAAGCCGCAAGGAUGACUGAUCCCUGGAGGAAGCACGGUCUAAGUUCGUGCCAACAACCGCGGUAAGACUAACCGUGCGAACGUUAUUCGGAAUCACUGGGCUUAGAGCGCGUGUAGGCGGAUCGGCGCGUCGGUCGCUGAAAUCCCCCGGCUUAUCCGGGUGACGGGCGCCCAAACGACUGGUCUGGAGAAACGUAAGGGGAGCUGGAACUUCCGGUGGAGCGGUGAAAUGCGUUGAGAUCGGAGGAACGCCCGUGGCGAAAGCGAGCUCCUGGACGUUUUCUGACGCUGAGA
rnacentral:rRNA from 1 species